GCACAUUUCGUUUCCUAACGAAUAUAAAAGAGGACAAGGUAUGUCUACUGUCUACUCAUCACGUUCUCUCUUUUCUUCACGUUUAGAAUACACAACUCAAGUAAACGUCCUCAAUUUCCAAUUUCAAUCUCUGUUCUUCAAUCAAAAUAAAUCAUUCUUCUCCAAUAUCCAAUCUUUGUUCUCUAUUCUUCAAUCGUGUGUGGAAGUUUCAGUUUUAAUUUAAUGUUUAAUUUUUGGUUUUAUAUUUGAUUUUCUCUACUUUUACUUCUCUAUGUUAUUAUUCAUGAUAGGUCUGAGAGUUUAAUCUUGCAAUUUAUUUUGUUGGAAUGUUUCAAAUUAUAGAUUUUAAUGUUUACGUUUGAUUUCCUUUCCUUUUUUCCUUUAAAUUUUUUCACCCAAUCUAUGCUCCAACUGAGAAUCUGACAUAGAUGCUUCGAUUACCAGAAUGUUGACUGUAGUUUCAACAAUAAUAUUGCAUAUAUGAAGUUUCUUGUUUAAGAAAAGGCAACAUAAUCAAUUAUAAGCAAUGUUUGGAAAAUCAGAACGGAUCGAGAGGUUCGAACCAAAAAACGUGGACCAGCAGUUAGACCGGUUCGGUUGUGGUCGAGUACUUGUUAAUACGGAAAUCGGUAAAAAUUAGGUAAAAUGAUAGGUUCAACCAAUUGAACCGGAUGCGGUUUCUCGAGUUUCUUUGACUACCUUGAAAAAGAAAAAGGAAGAAGAAUAAAGAAGCAUGUAGAUCUGCAAAUGAAGCUUCCUUGACUUGCCCAAACUAUUUGAAAGACCAUCCAUCAGUUUACAUGCAAUAUACGUUGGAAAAAUGAGAAAGAGAAGCCAUGGGGAAAUCAGAAAAAGAAGCCGGCGGCAAUGAAAAUGAAAAAAGGAGUAGUCGGUCGUGUGUCAAAUCUUACUAUGGACUUACUUAGAGAGAGAGGCCCCUGGUACAGGCCCUGUACUUGUAGCAGGGCUCUUAGAUGGCUACUAGGUUAAAAAUAUUUAUUAGGCCUUUAUUCCUA
rnacentral:lncRNA from 1 species